GCUUACGGCCAUACCACCCUGAGCGCGCCCGAUCUGUCUGAUCUCGGAAGCUAAGCAGGGUCGGGCCUGGUUAGUACUUGGAUGGGAGACCGCCUGGGAAUACCAGGUGCUGUAAGCC
rnacentral:rRNA from 1 species